rnacentral:lncRNA from 1 species
UGCUCCUCACACACAGUUUAGACCUUUGGGUGACAGUCAGCUCUUUAAUCUCUGCAGUGACCACAGUGCAAGGCCAGUCUGUGCAGAGGAGUGUUCCUGCUGUGGACUAGAGGGAGCACUUGAACCAGACUUAGCGUUUCCUAAGCUGCCAGGGGACACAUUCAGAGUUCAACUCUGACACCAGAAGACUCUUUUCUUUCAGGAUUUGCCCCUGAGCUGGAGAAAAGUUGCGCCAAAUAGGCUGUUGUACCAUGGACUCACCUAGAGGGAAGACUGAAAGAUACAUUCUGACAGGAGCAGCGAGUAUCAGGGGUGAAAGAUUCAUUUUCCUGUCUCAUCUGGAAACAAGGAAACUUUAAAACAAAACCCCAAAAUGUAAGUAUUUGAUGACUCUCAUCUUUUCAGUAGCGUCUUCCCAAGGGGACCCAUACUAGACCCACUGGACUUGCCUUUUGCUGCCUUAAUG